AAGAAAGUGGGGCUGAAAGCGUGGAGCUUGAAGAAAUAAUGGCUGAAAACUUCCUAAAUUUGGUGAAAUACAUAAACCUACAGAUUCAAGAAGCCAAUUGAACCUCAAAUAGAAUAAAGUCCCUGCCAAGACACAUCAUAAUCAAACGUCUGAAAACUAAAGACAAAAGCAUCUUAAAACCAAAGGAACAAAAUGAAAAAAGACAUUAAUUAUAGGAAAGCACCCAUUUGGAUUUCUCAUAUGGAACAAUGGAGACCAGAAGGAAGUGGUACCACAUUUUUCAAGACAAGAAAUCCAAAUUGGAGUUUUCCAUAGUUCCAGCUACUCAGCAGGCUGAGGCAGAAGGACCACUUGAGCCCAGGAGUUGGAGGCUACAGUGAGGUCAGCAGAAGACUCAAGGGGGAUGGAUCACAAAUUAAGUACCAGUGAUUACAGUCGAAAGGCUGAGCGGUCAGUUAUAAAUGGGAUCAUCUGGAUUUUGCAUUAAGUGUCCGUUUCAUUUUUUCAUCUCUCCUCUACAGGUCUGACCAGAUCGUUAGCCCAUUCACACUUUCAGAAGCCUUAAACCUUCUCAGUCCAAAGGAUAGAC
rnacentral:lncRNA from 1 species